ACGUGAGCAACCUGCCCAGAAGAAAGGGAUAGCUCGAGGAAACUCGAAUUAAUACCAUAUGUGAUCCUGUGAAGCAUUUCGCAGGAAUGAAAGAUGCCUUCGGGUGUCACUUCUGGAUGGGCUCGCGGCCUAUCAGUUAGUUGGUGAGGUAACGGCUCACCAAGGCAAUGACGGGUAGCUGGUCUGAGAGGACGACCAGUCACACUGGAACUGAGACACGGUCCAGACACCUACGGGUGGCAGCAGUCGAGAAUCAUUCGCAAUGGGGGAAACCCUGACGGUGCGACGCCGCGUGGAGGA
rnacentral:rRNA from 1 species